CCGGCACGGGUGAGUAACACGUAUCCAACCUGCCGUUUACUCUUGGCCAGCCUUCUGAAAGGAAGAUUAAUCCAGGAUGGCAUCAUGAGUUCACAUGUCCGCAUGAUUAAAGGUAUUUUCCGGUAGACGAUGGGGAUGCGUUCCAUUAGAUAGUAGGCGGGGUAACGGCCCACCUAGUCAACGAUGGAUAGGGGUUCUGAGAGGAAGGUCCCCCACAUUGGAACUGAGACACGGUCCAA
rnacentral:rRNA from 1 species